rnacentral:rRNA from 1 species
UACGUAGGGUGCAAGCGUUAUCCGGAUUUAUUGGGCGUAAAGGGCUCGUAGGCGGUUCGUCGCGUCCGGUGUGAAAGUCCAUCGCUUAACGGUGGAUCCGCGCCGGGUACGGGCGGGCUUGAGUGCGGUAGGGGAGACUGGAAUUCCCGGUGUAACGGUGGAAUGUGUAGAUAUCGGGAAGAACACCAAUGGCGAAGGCGGGUCUCUGGGCCGUUACUGACGCUGAGGAGCGAAAGCGUGGGGAGCGAACAGG